rnacentral:rRNA from 1 species
UACAAGCAGUGGGAGCACAGGUUUACCUGUGUGACUGCGUACCUUUUGUAUAAUGGGUCAGCGACUUAUAUUCUGUAGCAAGGUUAACCGAAUAGGGGAGCCGGAGGGAAACCGAGUCUUAACCGGGCGUUAAGUUGCAGGGUAUAGACCCGAAACCCGGUGAUCUAGCCAUGGGCAGGUUGAAGGUUGGGUAACACUAACUGGAGGACCGAACCGACUAAUGUUGAAAAAUUAGCGGAUGACCUGUGGCUGGGGGUGAAAGGCCAAUCAAACCGGGAGAUAGCUGGUUCUCCCCGAAAGCUAUUUAGGUAGCGCCUCGUGAAUUCAUCUCCGGGGGUAGAGCACUGUUUCGGCUAGGGGGCCAUCCCGGCUUACCAACCCGAUGCAAACUGCGAAUACCGGAGAAUGUUAUCACGGGAGACACACGGCGGGUGCUAACGUCCGUCGUGAAGAGGGAAACAACCCAGACCGCCAGCUAAGGUCCCAAAGUCAUGGUUAAGUGGGAAACGAUGUGGGAAGGCCCAGACAGCCAGGAUGUUGGCUUAGAAGCAGCCAUCAUUUAAAGAAAGCGUAAUAGCUCACUGGUCGAGUCGGCCUGCGCGGAAGAUGUAACGGGGCUAAACCAUGCACCGAAGCUGCGGCAGCGACACUGUGUGUUGUUGGGUAGGGGAGCGUUCUGUAAGCCUGUGAAGGUGUGUCGUGAGGCAUGCUGGAGGUAUCAGAAGUGCGAAUGCUGACAUAAGUAACGAUAAAGCGGGUGAAAAGCCCGCUCGCCGGAAGACCAAGGGUUCCUGUCCAACGUUAAUCGGGGCAGGGUGAGUCGACCCCUAAGGCGAGGCCGAAAGGCGUAGUCGAUGGGAAACGGGUUAAUAUUCCCGUACUUGGUGUUACUGCGAAGGGGGGACGGAGAAGGCUAUGUUGGCCGGGCGACGGUUGUCCCGGUUUAAGCGUGUAGGUGUGUGUUCCAGGUAAAUCCGGUUCACUUUAACACUGAGGCGUGACGACGAGGCACUACGGUGCUGAAGCAACAAAUGCCCUGCUUCCAGGAAAA